GUCAUUGCGUAAAAUAUAUUAUAUAUAUAUUUUGCUGCAACCUAGCUUCGCUAGUCCGAUUCCGACACCAAUCCAGGUGCGUUGCGUUGGCCUGUGUGCGCCCGGUGAGUGGUGCAAGAGUUUGAUCACGCCUAACCGUAACAUAAAGUUGCGGAGUUUUGGUUUGUUGAUUGCUCUAGCGCUGCGACGGGACUUGUUGUGUUCAUACAAUACUACCUGUGCAACCCACUCAUUUAGAGUGGGAGUUUCCACAGGCUAUUGUUUUGGGCACCGUG
rfam:Thrush coronavirus HKT12-600, complete genome.